AUGAACGCUAGCUACAGGCUUAACACAUGCAAGUCGAGGGGCAGCAUGGUCUUAGCUUGCUAAGGCCGAUGGCGACCGGCGCACGGGUGAGUAACACGUAUCCAACCUGCCGUCUACUCUUGGACAGCCUUCUGAAAGGAAGAUUAAUACAAGAUGGCAUCAUGAGUCCGCAUGUUCACAUGAUUAAAGGUAUUCCGGUAGACGAUGGGGAUGCGUUCCAUUAGAUAGUAGGCGGGGUAACGGCCCACCUAGUCUUCGAUGGAUAGGGGUUCUGAGAGGAAGGUCCCCCACAUUGGAACUGAGACACGGUCCAAACUCCUACGGGAGGCAGCAGUGAGGAAUAUUGGUCAAUGGGCGAGAGCCUGAACCAGCCAAGUAGCGUGAAGGAUGACUGCCCUAUGGGUUGUAAACUUCUUUUAUAAAGGAAUAAAGUCGGGUAUGCAUACCCGUUUGCAUGUACUUUAUGAAUAAGGAUCGGCUAACUCCGUGCCAGCAGCCGCGGUAAUACGGAGGAUCCGAGCGUUAUCCGGAUUUAUUGGGUUUAAAGGGAGCGUAGAUGGAUGUUUAAGUCAGUUGUGAAAGUUUGCGGCUCAACCGUAAAAUUGCAGUUGAUACUGGAUAUCUUGAGUGCAGUUGAGGCAGGCGGAAUUCGUGGUGUAGCGGUGAAAUGCUUAGAUAUCACGAAGAACUCCGAUUGCGAAGGCAGCCUGCUAAGCUGCAACUGACAUUGAGGCUCGAAAGUGUGGGUAUCAAACAGGAUUAGAUACCCUGGUAGUCCACACGGUAAACGAUGAAUACUCGCUGUUUGCGAUAUACAGCAAGCGGCCAAGCGAAAGCGUUAAGUAUUCCACCUGGGGAGUACGCCGGCAACGGUGAAACUCAAAGGAAUUGACGGGGGCCCGCACAAGCGGAGGAACAUGUGGUUUAAUUCGAUGAUACGCGAGGAACCUUACCCGGGCUUAAAUUGCAGAUGAAUUACGGUGAAAGCCGUAAGCCGCAAGGCAUCUGUGAAGGUGCUGCAUGGUUGUCGUCAGCUCGUGCCGUGAGGUGUCGGCUUAAGUGCCAUAACGAGCGCAACCCUUGUUGUCAGUUACUAACAGGUCAUGCUGAGGACUCUGACAAGACUGCCAUCGUAAGAUGUGAGGAAGGUGGGGAUGACGUCAAAUCAGCACGGCCCUUACGUCCGGGGCUACACACGUGUUACAAUGGGGGGUACAGAGGGCCGCUACCACGCAAGUGGAUGCCAAUCCCAAAAACCUCUCUCAGUUCGGACUGGAGUCUGCAACCCGACUCCACGAAGCUGGAUUCGCUAGUAAUCGCGCAUCAGCCACGGCGCGGUGAAUACGUUCCCGGGCCUUGUACACACCGCCCGUCAAGCCAUGGGAGCCGGGGGUACCUGAAGUGCGUAACCGCGAGGAGCGCCCUAGGGUAAAACUGGUGACUGGGGCU
rnacentral:rRNA from 1 species